rnacentral:lncRNA from 1 species
UGACUUAGUUGCUUGAAAAUUGUUAAGUGUAGGGACUUUAAAGGGGAUUUUUUUUAUUUUGAAAGUGCUUUGGUAAGUGACUUAGUCAUUUGGAUAUGGUUAAGUCAAGGGACUUUAAAGGGGAUUUUUUUGUUUUGAAUGUGGUUUUGUAUUGAUAUUUAGUUGGUUAGAAAUGGUUAAGUGUAGAGACUUUAAAAAGGAUUAUUUUGUUUUGAAUGUGGU